AGAGUUUGAUCAUGGCUCAGGACGAACGCUGGCGGCGUGCCUAAUACAUGCAAGUCGAGCGAGGAACUUCGGUUCCUAGCGGCGAACGGGUGAGUAACACGUGGGCAACCUGCCCUCAAGCCUGGGAUAACUCCGGGAAACCGGGGCUAACACCAGAUAAUCUUUUCCUUCGCAUGAAGGAGAAGUAAAAGUUAACACUU
rnacentral:rRNA from 1 species